rnacentral:rRNA from 1 species
GACGAACGCUGGCGGCGUGCCUAACACAUGCAAGUCGAACGGAAAGGCCCUGCGUUUGUGGUGUUCUUGAUUGCGGAAGGCGGGAGUAUCACGUGUGUAACCUGCCCUUGUCUUUGUGAUAACUUCACGAAACUGGGGCUAAUAUCGGAUAGGAUCUUCUGCUCCAUGGUGGGCGUUGGAAAGUUUCGGCGGUGGGGGAUGGACUCGCGGCUUAUCAGCUUGUUGGUGGGGUAGUGGAUUACCCAGGCUUUCACGGGUAGCCGGCCUGAGAGGGGGAUCGGCCACACUGGAAGUGAGACACGGUCCAUACGACUACGGGAGGCAGCAGUAGGGAAUGUGAGGCAAUGGUCGAAAGUCUGACGGAGCAAGCCCGCGUGAGUGAUGAAGGCCUCCGGUUCGUAAAGCCCGCUUUUUGGGUAAGAACAGCUUUCGACUGAGACGUAGCGUGCGUGACGGUAACGAAUAAAGAAGCACCGGCUAACUACGUG